GCCCUUCAGGCCUAACACAUGCAAGUCGAACGGUAACAGGUCUUCGGAUGCUGACGAGUGGCGAACGGGUGAGUAAUACAUCGGAACGUGCCCGAUCGUGGGGGAUAACGGAGCGAAAGCUUUGCUAAUACCGCAUACGAUCUACGGAUGAAAGCGGGGGAUCUUCGGACCUCGCGCGGACGGAGCGGCCGAUGGCAGAUUAGGUAGUUGGUGGGAUAAAAGCUUACCAAGCCGACGAUCUGUAGCUGGUCUGAGAGGAUGAUCAGCCACACUGGGACUGAGACACGGCCCAGACUCCUACGGGAGGCAGCAGUGGGGAAUUUUGGACAAUGGGGGAAACCCUGAUCCAGCAAUGCCGCGUGCAGGAUGAAGGCCUUCGGGUUGUAAACUGCUUUUGUACGGAACGAAAAGGCUCUGGUUAAUACCUGGGGCUCAUGACGGUACCGUAAGAAUAAGCACCGGCUAACUACGUGCCAGCAGCCGCGGUAAUAAGGGC
rnacentral:rRNA from 1 species